ensembl:lncRNA
CAGCAAAUUCCAAGGCACUGUGAAGAAUGUCACAUUACAGGUAAGUGCCAGGUGGUAUGGGAGCCAUAAGGAGCGAUUCCUGACCACGGCACCCAAAGGUGGUGGCCCCCACGGCUGCGUUCUCCAGGUAGGAGAAGCAUGAAGGGCGUUGCAGGCUGCAAGCAGAGCGUGCACGGUCCGGAUGUGGGCGACCACGAUUGUCUGGGGCGGCCACACGCUGCUCGGUGUAGGAGGGCUGUUUGAUGGGGAUUUGCACAGUUCUUCAUGGGUUUGAAUAGUCACUGUCCUCAUCUUUCUGACUCUUACUCCCUUGGUUGUCACUCAAUAUUUGGAGGAAAAUAAUGAUCCUUCACAAAAAGGAUAUGCCCCUUUUCUGCUGAGAUUUUCAGUCCAACUCAAAACACAUGAAAGACUUUUUUUUUAAAGAGUAUCUGGGAUACAUUAGAUCAAGAUUUCUCAACCUCUGUGCUAUUGACAUUUGGGCCACAUAAUUCUGCGUCGUCGGGGCAGUCCUGUGCAUUGUAGGAUGUUUAGCAGCAUCCCUGGCUACUCACUAGAUGCCAGGAGCCCUUCCCCAGUGUUAUAAUCAAAAACAUCUCUAGACAUGGCCAAAUGUCCCCUUGAGGCCACUGCAUGGGUUAGUGCCGGUAACACACACUGGGUAACUAGAAGAAGAAAUACGUUACUAGCCUGUCAACGCUGCACAGAAGAGGCUUUGUAAAGCCUGAGGGGCUCGGGCCUCUGCUUUCUCUGGGCUUAUUUUGCUCUAGAAUACAAGCUGCCUGUUCCUUUCAUCUCCAGAUGACCACCCAACAUGAUUAUGACAAGUAACCACGGAAUUUGAAGAACAAACCUUGGCUGCUUCUUCGCUUAGUGACCCAAGUGCCAUUUCUUUGCAGCGCUCAUAGGUCUGCGCUACACUGAAAAUGCUAAGUUAUGUUUGCACCAGGACAAUAAAAUCCUACUCAGCAAUAAAGGAGAAGAAGCUAUUGACAAACAUGACAACGUGGGCAAAUCUCAAAGGCAGGAUGCUGGGGGAAAGAGGACAGGCUCGAAAGGUUAAAUACUGCCUGGGUCCAUUUACGUGACUUUCUGGAAAAGGCAAGACUGGAGCGGGAGCAGCCAACCUUUUCAGCAGCGCAACUUCAGACGGACAACGGGAGAGUCUCUAAGCUUUUUCGGUGGUAGCCUGCUGCACCAAACAUCCUCAGGAGCUGUUGAUUCUUUCCCCCUUGGCUGACUGUAAGCUGUGAAACGAGGCAAAAAUGAAGCCCCUCCGUGUCUGCAGCAUGAAGGAAGGUGGGGGGCAAAGAAUCACUUGCUCUGGGAGAGCUGACGCCAUGUCAGGAGGACACUCAAGCAGGCCUGUGGAGAAGGACGUGUGGAGAGGAACGAGGCCUCCUCACAACAGCCAGCAUCACGUUUCCAUCUGGAUGAGUGAGCCGUCCUGGAAACGGAUCCUCCAGCCCCAGUGACGCCUUCCCAUGACCGCAGCCCUGGCCGACAUCUUGACUGCAGCCUCAUGAGAGACCUUGAGCCAGAAAUACCCAGUUAAACGGCUCCUGGAUUCCUGACCCACAGAAACUCUGUGACAGGAUCGAGGGACAUGGUGACCGACCCAAUCGAGCUGUGAUGGAAUCAAGAGGAGGACCUGGCGACCCUAGCGGCCAGACCACUCCUGGGCAUUGGUUUGAGGAUCACCCAGCAUCACCCUUCUUAUGUGCCUGACAGCAAAGCCCUGCAACCUGAUAGCCAGGCCUGCUUUCAUAUACACACAGGCCCCUGAGAAUGCGGCCUUUAUAGGAAUCUCCGGGGUUGUGUUGUCUGAACCAUCGAAUGUCCUGUGUGUCCAGUGCUGGGGAAUGCAUGAGUCCACUUCAGCACUCAGCAGAGAAGCGACUGGGCAAAGAGUGUGCCCUUAGGGUCCUUAAAUGGAAUUUUAAAUUUUAACAACUUACCUCCGCUUCAAUGCAGACUGUUACUCUGACAGAACGCAAACUCCGUGUCCCUAAACUUGAGGAAAAAUUCUUCAGCGUUUGCUGCUAGCACGGUACAUUACACAUUGAGGGGGGCCCCUUAAGGAUUUUGAAUUCCUUGUAUUCGUACUUCACUGGGUCAUGGGAACCACCACUUUAGUGUCUGCGCAGAGGACUUCUUCCUCUGGGUUUGUCAAGGUUGUAGGUUUGCUCUGACUUCAGCUGUGGCAACAAAGAGAGGCUCCAAGUGUAGCCUGAGGCAGAAGGAAAAGGCAAGUCAACCUGUCACCUUUUUGAUCCAUAGGUUUCCAUCUAUAUUAUUGCUCGUCCCCUCGGGGCUUGGGCUUAAACCCUCUUCUCUCCAGUCUUCUCACUAACAGAGCUGACAAACCGACUCACCCCCAAACUCGAUGCUUAGUCUCUAGUGACGGGAAGCCAUGUCUCAGUGCCAACAUUAUUUAUGUUAUUGGCAUGCCUGAAUCAGAUAAAUAGCUUCAACAGCUGCAGAGCACAGGGCAGGAAACAAAAUUUACCAAUUUUCACUCUUGCCAAGACAAAUCCACAAGUAGCUUAGCCAGAUUGCCUACAACUUCUUACCAGUAAUUUCAAGGUGAUUUUACUCUGGAAAAGAAAAAGGAGAAACAGAAGGCAGAGUCCUGGAACUUCUCCUUUGUCGCAGUCCUCCGUCUCUUCUCACACUUGGAGUGACGGGAACAGAGAACGAGGAUGGACACGGUAUGAUUGAUACACAGACAAAAUCUCACCGUGGUUACGACUUUCAGGGGGAAUUUAGACCACAGCCUCAGCUUCCCAGUGCUCACUACCCUUUGGAGUAGUUCUGUUUUUAAAAAUCAAAAUAAAAAAGCAAUAUUUGGAAGCUUCAAACAGGAUAUAUCAUAAGAGAUGAACAGCAUUUCUCUCCAUUGAAAGCGGUGCUUUACAGCGGAGCUCAGUUCCUAGGGGACUGAAAGUUCCCAGCUGGUGAUUGGCACAGAGAAGAUGAGGAGGUGGAGGACUCGAGAGGGGUCUGUGCUUGAGACGACGAAGCAGCUGUGGAACAUUCCCUGAGAUUACAGGCCCGCCAUGCUAUGCGUGCCUGCAUCACCUGGAGUCUUUCCUGCUCCCGUCCUUCCGACGCCUGUCCCCAGACUAACCCUUCUCAUCCACACAGCUGCCUUGGUCACGUCACGCCUCCCCUUUACUGAAUCCCCCAGGCCUCCAAGAAUGUCAGUUAUGUCCUAGCCUGGCCUGUAUAUUGUGCAAGAACCUGGCUGCCUCUGACACGUAAUCUCCCUCUGUCUCCAGCGGGAAUCUGCUCCUCCAGUCUACAGGUUCUGCAUCGCUUUCUACGUGCACAGCUCUACACCGCCCUGUGUGGUGGUCUCCAUUCUCUUCACCUGGAACAUCCUUCUCCUGCCCUCUUCUCAACCAACUCCAAGAAGUGACACAGAGAGUGGGAUUUGGAAUUAGGUGGGUCUGGGCUAGAUUCUAGCUCUACAACCUGCUUGCUGUGUGUCGCUGGCAGGUGUCUCAUCUCCUCUGACCCUCAGCUUCCUCAUCUAAGGAGAAUGUUCACCCUGGGUUCAUGGUAGAUGCUAAGGAAAAGUUAACUCCGUUUUUCUACAUAUUUACCCAACUCCUGUGCACUCUUCCAAGCUCCUAAAUCAACUAAUUUCUAUUAAAUGGGUCAUAAAAUGGGGUUUAUAGAUGAGAAUAAGGUUUAGUGCAGUAAAACUGUCACCAAGGAAUGGGCCAGGCCAGGAACCCAGAAGUCACAAGACCGUCUCAGAACAGAGCUUAGAGGCCAAGGCACAUGGGCCCAUCCUCUGCCAGUGACACCCUGAAAUUUCAGUUUCGAGGGAGUGGAACCCAAUACAAGAUUUGGAAAAGAGCCAAGCAGUCCAUGGAUGGGAAAUGAGAGCAUUGCUGUGACUCACUGCUGGGCAGGUGACAGAGCUCCUGAAUAAGGUAUUUUUAUAAUUCCUGCCAGAUUUACAAAAGAUGCCAAUGAACAGAUUCAGCUCUAUGAUUCUUGAACCUUAAUUGAAAAAGAAGAAAGGCAGAUGUGUUAGAUGUGUUUCUGAUGCCUCAGCCCCUUUGGAAGAAAUUGGCCCACCAACAGACUGUUACUUUGGCCGGUAACUUGCCCUGCGAUGGAAGCCUUCUUUAGGCAUAUCUGAUUGAUGCAGGGGUGGGCACCUGAGCAAAGGGCAGCCGAUCCCAUAGGCUGGAGAGUAACUCUGACUAUGUCCUAGUGCAAAAGGAUGAGCUGAGCUGAUCAGAUUCCCUGUAUUUCAAGAACUGGAACAGGAAACACGGAAGGAAUGAGCCCAUAGUAACAAGAGUAGAAACUAUAAGGAUCUACUCUAGGGGCCGGCCCCAUGGCUAGUGGUUAAGUUCUCGUGCUCCAGUUUGGUGGCCUGGGGUUCACUGGUUGGGAUCCUGGGCACGGACCUACACACCUCUCAUCAAGGCAUUCUGUGGUGGCAUCCCACGUAGAAGACUUAGAAUGACCUGCAACUAUGAUAUACAACUAUGUGCUGGGGCUUGGGGAGAAAAAAAGAAAAAAGGAGGAAGAUUAGCAACAGAUCUUAGCUCAGGGCCAGUCUUUCUCACCAAAAGUAAAUAAAUGCAACUGUUUCUUAAAAAAAAAAAAAAAAGGAUCUACUCUACCCAUGGAGUGUCGGGACCAGGCAAGCAAAAGUCAUGAGCAAGCCAGAGUUAAGAAAGUUCAGAAACUGCCAAUAAGCAGAACCAGUCCGUGAGCAGAAAGAGGAGAACUGAGCAGAGGCACAAGCAGAAGCAAAAAACCAUGAGAAAGAGAUGGAGAAAGCAGUGGGUCCUGGAGCUGACAGUUCCUCAGGCUACCUCAGUCUUUGGAGCUAUCUCACUUCCUACAAGAAAACCCCCUUGUCCAGGCUAACUUACAUCAGUAUCCCUUAUAAACAAAAGCACCCAACUGGAACAGUCGGAAAGCAGAGAAAUAUUUUACUACUAGGAAAAUAUAAAUACACAUACUCUGGAUACACAUGCUAUUCUACAAGUCACAAAACC